UGAUCCUCCUGCUUUUGCCUCUCUAUUUGCUGGGAUUACAGAGAUACUUGCUGAGGCCUGCCUGACAAAGCCUGCAACCUUUGGUUCUGCUGCUGCACCUGCAGAUGCAUGUGAUGACUGCUAUGGGUCCACCUCACUUCUACCACAUCUGAGCCAGUUUCCAAGCAGGAAACUUGCUGGGAGUUGAGAUUUAGAUACUACCCCCUGGUACUCCCUGACCAAUUUUAGAUGUCUCUUCUAAGGAAGAAAGACUAUUGUAACUCCUGGAAGCCAAGUAGAUAGAGUCUUCCAAAACACUGUGGCCAUUUUCCUCAGCUCAUGAUGACUUGCCAGGGCCAGGGCCAGCCUGCUGUCCCCACAACCCACUCAUCCAAGCAUAAUUUCUCAGCCUUCCAUCAGUAGGUCUCCAUUCAUCUCAUUCUAUCCACACUGAAGCAAAUUAAAGCCAUUUUCUUUUUACCUCUA